GUAGGUCCGAAGUCCAGUAUGGGACUCACUGGGCUAAAAUCAAGUUGCCUCCAGGCUGCAUUUCUUUCUGGAGGCUCUCAGAAUCCAUUUCCUUGCUCAUUCAAGUUGUUAGCUGAAUUCAGUCCUAAUGGUUGUGACCGAGGUCCCUGUUUCUUUGCUGGUAUUCCCAGCUUCUAGAGACCACCUGCAUUUUUUGGCUUGUGGCCCCUUUCCUCCAUUCUCAAAACCAACAAGACCCGGUCAUGUGCUUCUUAUACUUCAAAUCUCUCCUGCCUCUUCUUCCACUGUAGCACCUUUCUCUGACUCACUCUUUUGUCUUCCUCUUCUACUUUUAAGGACUCUUGUGGUUACAUUGGGCCCACCCAGGUACCAGAUAAUCCCCUAUCUCAAAGUCCCUUUUGCCAUGUAACAUAGUCACAGGUAUGUUCAUAUUCACAGGUUCUGGGCAUUAGGACAAGGACAUCUUUCUGGGGGUCGUUAUUUUGCCUGCCACAUGUUUGCCUUGCAAAGACUGGGAGUU